rnacentral:tRNA from 1 species
GCUGGCGUUGUGGCUCAGUGGUAAGAGUGCUUGCCUAGCAUGUGUGAGGCACUGGGUUCAAUUCUCAGCACAGCA